rnacentral:rRNA from 1 species
AGUGAACGCUGGCGGUAGGCCUAACACAUGCAAGUCGAACGGCAGCACAGUAAGAGCUUGCUCUUACGGGUGGCGAGUGGCGGACGGGUGAGGAAUACAUCGGAAUCUACUUUUUCGUGGGGGAUAACGUAGGGAAACUUACUCUAAUACCGCAUACGACCUACGGUUGAAAGCAGGGGAUCUUCGGACCUUGCGCGAUUGAAUGAGCCGAUGUCGGAUUAGCUAGUUGGCGGGGUAAAGGCCCACCAAGGCGACGAUCCGUAGCUGGUCUGAGAGGAUGGUCAGCCACACUAGAACUGAGACACGGUCCAGACGCCUACGGGAGGCAGCAGUGGGGAAUAUUGGACAAUGGGCGCAAGCCUGAUCCAGCCAUACCGCGUGGGUGAAGAAGGCCUUCGGGUUGUAAAGCCCUUUUGUUGGGAAAGAAAAGCAGCAGGUUAAUACCCCGCUGUUCUGACGGUACCCAAAGAAUAAGCACCGGCUAACUUCGUG